GUCGAACGGGAUUUUCGGAGUUCAGUGGGGAGGGUGAGUAAGCGUGAGAAUCUGGCUUAGGUUCGGGAAACCACUGGAAACGGUGGCUAAACCGGAUGUGCCGAGAGGUAAAAAAUUAAUUGGCUGAAGAUGAGCUCGCGUCUGAUUAGCUAGUUGGUAGGGUAAGAGCCUACCAAGGCGUCGAUCAGUAACUGGUCUGAGAGGAUGACCAGUCACACUGGGACUGAGACACGGGCCAGACUCCUACGGGAGGCAGCAGUGGGGAAUUUUCCGCAAUGGGCGAAAGCCUGACGGAGCAAUACCGCGUGAGGGAGGAAGGCUCUUGGGUUGUAAACCUCUU
rnacentral:rRNA from 1 species